GAAAUGCGAUACGUAGUGUGAAUUGCAGAAUUCAGUGAAUCAUCGAAUCUUUGAACGCACAUUGCGCCCUUUGGUAUUCCAAAGGGCAUGCCUGUUCGAGCGUCAUUUGUACCCUCAAGCUUUGCUUGGUGUUGGGCGUUUUUUGUCUUUGGUUGCCAAAGACUCGCCUUAAAAGGAUUGGCAGCCGGCCUACUGGUUUCGCAGCGCAGCACAUUUUUGCGCUUGCAACCAGCAAAAGAGGACGGCAAUCCAUCAAGACUCCUUUUCACGUUUGACCUCGGAUCAGGUAGGGAUACCCGCUGAACUUAAGC
rnacentral:misc_RNA from 1 species